AGCUCCUGUCUCCGUGGUCCCCCUGGAUGAUCCCAUCUCCUAGAUGGCCACCAGCCUUUUUUGAAAUGUUCUCUUACGCUUUGAGCACUGUCCUUCAAACAACUUCUGUGACAAACAAAUGCCUGGUCAGCUGAAAAUGUACCGAGUAGAAAACUAUGCAGUUGCGGAAAAUGAGACGGAGCCACAGUUGUCCCGACCAUAGCAGCAAUCUGUAAGCUCUCAUAUGGAAGUAAGAGAGGAUGCUGCGGUUGAUGACGCCCAGUCCGGCAAUGGGGCCAUCUACUCUGUGUUUACAUGGUGGGUCGGGCUCAUGGUCACAGAGAUGUCUGAGAGGACCAGAAGGUGAAGCUGCUGUUCAGAGCCGUGUGAUGUUCUCAGAUGAAUGGGACUCUCAUCCCUCAUCAAAGAAGCUUUUUUCUCUGCAAUAGAUGAAGACCGUCACAGAAAGCCACCGCUGGGCAAAAUGCAGAAAAGAACUGCCCAGGGGUGUCCAGUCUUAUAUUUUUACACCACAGUCCCUAUGUCUAAGGCUCAGGGAACAUCUCAGAAGAGAGCACAGAAAGAUGGCAAGAGCUAAAGAACCGGGACUUCUGAGGCAAUGUAGUGGCUUCUAUAUGUGACAAAGAAGCUGUAGCCACCAACUCUCAAAAAAUACGGCUGCCUAAAAAAAGACUCGCACAAUGACAACACCAGUUGACGAGCCAAUGUGAACUGAAAUUUCUCAGGGCCCCACUGGAGCUACAGGCAAAUAAUGGCUACUCACAGAGGGAGAAUCGGCCUUCUCCAAGGAUGAGCCCUGGGUAGGCUAGUCAUCCCAAGCGGUCAGUCCUAAACACAUAGACAAAUGAACAACAUGAAAUGGUCUCGGCAGACUUCAUUUAUAACUACAUUAUGCAUAUCCCUAUGUGAUAUAUAAAACCAUGUUUAAAGAAGAGGUCCUGGAUUCGAGAGGGAGUUCGGGUUGCAUGGGAGGCAUUUCAGAACGGAAGAGAAGAGGCAGAGAUGUUGUAAACACAGUAUUCGUGUGUGAAAUUCUCAAGUAAGAUUAAACAGCAACGAGUGUUCUUCCAGGCGAGGCCUAAGUUCUCCAAAGGCAGACAUUAAACUUCUCAUUUUCUCCUUCCUUGUGGCACCCAGGCCUCGGCAUAGCUCAGAUGCUCAAUAAAAGGUCAAUGGAAGCAGUGGAGUUAAACAGAAUCCCGUCUUCCCAAUUCAUCUUUCUCUAAGCUUGCCCUUGGGAAUAAGACCAGGAUAUAGCCAGAAAACGCUGGGUGGGGACUUCAAAGGAGGACAAACCUUUAGGUGAAUGGGAAAAAAAAUAGAAGAGGGAACAGGAAGAAGAUUAAAAAUGCCAAGAAUGACAACUGCCCACCUGGCCCUCAGCCCCUGAUGAAAAGAAACGCAAGCCAUCGGAUUCACUUCAAUUGCUCCUGGACCCGCAAUGACUCCCUCCCCCAGGCUUGUAGGAAAAUUCAAUUAAAGGGUCCAUCUGUGAGGCAGCAGCUGAAGAGGAAAGACUGUGGGGAGGCCCACAUUUUCAUAAAAAAGAGCCGUGCUCCACCUCCUCUUCUGCACCCCGCUCCUCCAUUGACUUAUUAGCUGCAGCCCUUACCUCUAAACUGCAAUUCUCUCCAAUUAGGCUGGUCCCAGCCACAGCUUUCAUCUGCAAGUUUUCAGCGCAUGCGGAGUAAGGAUUGAGGCAUCGCUCGGCCCCAGCACUUGCUGGGAGAGAGCAAGAGAGAAAAAAAAUCCACAAAGACUGACCGCAGAAGCCAAGGGACUGGCGGCCUCCUGGCCCAAUUAAUUCCAACACACUGGCUGGCUGCAGUUUUGUGCUGACCGACUCACUGGGAAACAUUGCUAUCGGAAACCUGUGAAGCAUUGCCUGGAUAUAGCUCCAUGCAGAGAGCUUGGCCGCUGUUCUUUGUCAUGGCUCUCAGGAACCCAAGGAAAGGGCUGUCUUCAACUGCUUUUCAGAGUACAAACCACACACAUAGAACAGGAACCACACAUGCUUCUUGUCCGUGCUAACUGUGACCACGAAUUUCGGCACUGUCACUGUGUCCUUUCUGAUCCCCUCUCCUGCCACACAGUCAAGCCCCAAAGCACUUAUCACACAGCAAGAAGGUACUCACUGCCGUUUAGAACUGACACUCUCGGAUGCCAAAUGAGGAAGAGAAUUGUCAUUAAUUUGCCUCCAGCUUUUGUUCUCAAAGCAAGAACAACAAAACCACCUCUAAAGGCAGGAGGAGUUAUAUAUUGCCAUGUUUCUCUACUUGAUCCAUCUACUAUGUUCCUACAGUAACACUUCUAUCAGAUUUCCCAACAAAAGAUCUUUGGAAGCUCUUGGAGAUACCUCCUGGGAGCCUCUGUCUCCCUGCUACUCCUGCAAAUGUGCAUGCCCAAGUGUGUCAUGGUGUUCCUGGGAAGGUCAAAGGACAACUUUUGGGAGCCAGUUAUCUCCUUCCACCAUGUGAGUUCUGGGCAUUGAACUCAGGUUCUCAGGCACGGCAGCGAGAACCUUUACCCACUCAGCCAUUGUGCUGAUCCCAUUUUUCUUGACAAGUUCAGUGUUACUCUUUGGCCCUAGUGACUCUGUGCCAAGAUACCAGUGGACGCCUGAAAUUGUGGAUGGCACCAAACCCACUAUAUCUUCUGUGUUUUCUCUAUAUGUACAUACUCAGGAAAAAAAACUAAUAUACACAACGGACAAAGUAACAGAUUAACAACUACAAAACCAAUCAAAGAAAUACAUUGGAAUAAAUGUCAUGUGUUUGUGGACUCUAGGAAUAAGAGAAGCCUGUGAUCCUACUGUGUGUUGGACACAGCUGCUCCAGGUUUUAGGACUCUGGAGGGUGAUGUGGUAGGAACUUCCUUGUCGUCAUGGAGUGUGUGCUCUCCUUAGGAGGUGGGGCAGAGAAGAGACUCUUGAAGAAUGAAAAGGAACUACAGUCUAAGAGCUUUGUGAGGUAACAGUGACAUUUAAAAAAUUAGCUUUUGAUAGGCAUAACUAUUUCACCGUAACAACUUAAGGCAUGGAGGCAGAGGAGAUAGGUGGACAGGAAGGGGACAUUCCAUUUGUUUGAGGAAGCCAGAAGGAAGAUACAGAGGACUUCUACUUCCUUCUAAGACCGUGACAUUGACUGCUAUGGCGUGAAAGUGUCCCUGAAAUGUGUGUUAUAAACUUAGUCCCCUGUGCAACCACGUUAGAGGUGGGACACUUUAAGGUUUACGAGGCUGUGGAGUUCUGGUGUCCUGAGUGGAUCUCGCACCAUCGUAGGAGUGGAUUGGUGAUCAUAGGAGUGGGAUCCUGACCAAAGAAUGAGCUUGGUCUCAUUCCAUUCUCUCCCUUCAUGCUCACAUGCCCUUCAGCCUUCUGCAGUGGAUGCUGAUGCAGCAAGACCCUCCUUAACAGCCCUGGACCCCUUCCACCUUGACCUUUCCAAUCCCCAGAACUGUAAUAAGUAAGUCUUUUUUCUUUAUAUAUCCUCCAGUCUUGGACACUCUGUCUUAAGACCACAAAAUAGCACGAGACACCUUCCUUGAGAUCAGUGUUGGAAAAAAUAAAGACGGGAAAACAGUGUCACAAAAUUUAUGAAAGAAAAACCACAUUUUCAAGAAUAUUAUUUUAUUCAGCUGUAAAGAAAUAUGAAAUUUGGAGAUAGCUGAAUGAAGCUGGAAAAUAUUAUACUGAGUGAGGCAACCCGGACCCAGAAAGACGAAUGUUGCUUAUUCUCACUGAUAUGUGGAUCCUAACACUGAAUCUGUAGAUUUAUGUGUUUAACUUGGAGUAUCUGUAGAAGCAAGGAAAUGAGAAAGGAAAGAUUCUUGGGGAGAAGGAAGAUCUUAAGGGAGUAUCAUGUCAAAGUACUGGUGACAUGAAGGGGGGGCAAGGAAGGAUCAGUGGGAAGAGAGGUUUAUAUGGGGAGGAUGGAAAGGUAGAGAAGAAGAGGGGGUGGGAUAAAAAGCAUUAAGGAAUUUCUGAAAAGCCAUCUGAAAACCUACAGUUUUAUAAGCAGUAUGCAUAUGUUACAUAUAUGCAUAUAAAAUUUAAUUGGUGUUAACCUACACAAAGAUAAUAUUCCUCCCAGAAGUUAAAAGUUGCCAGGUAAAUAGCCAGAUGCCAGGUGUAGGAUAUCUCUCCUCUAGUUAUUGGCCAGACUCCAGAAUAUACCAAACUACAUAGGUUAUUAUCAUUUUUCUAGGUUGCCUGCCAGAACAUGAUCAUAAGAUCCUAUUACUAAAAAUAUCACAUACUUUGCUCACAGAAAAUGGAGAACAGUUUGGUUAUUGACUGGGAAGCUUCCUCCCUGCUGGCUAGCUCCAUAGCUGACUAUGUAGACUACAGGAAGAGAAAAGUUAUCAACAAUCUUACCCAGAUGUGAACUCUGUGAGCUACAUUAAUGGCUAUUAUGGUAAGACAACACCCACAGACAAUAGUGGCAUGAAUGUCAUGGGAAUAGCCAACUACUUUAUGAUUGGAUUUCAGGCCAGCUCUACAGGAAGGAACACAUGCCUGGUUCUGUAAACAUGGCCAAGAGUCCAUGUCUGGGAGUUCACAGGACCCAGGGGGUGAGUCUACUUCUAUUGCUCUGCUGAAAGGACAUAGUAUCAAACUACCCUCUAAAUACAGGACCCGGAUGAGUGCAGCUCUCAGACCUCAUCAGGAGAGUUUAUUUGUGUAGUAAAUGGUGACUAACUCAGAAAUGUAGAACUCGGUUAAAGUCCAGAGAAGUAUCUGUGCUGUCCUCAGUCAUAAGUGGAACAGCUAUAUAACAACCUACACCCCAAGGCUUAGGGGCCACCAUGGAUGAGGGGACAGAAAGGCAAAGAAUGAGACUGCAAAAAUCUUCUGGACGUGGCAGGAUCACAGUACUUGUGAAUUCACAGCAGCUGUGGUUACCUGUGCACAACCAAGGCAAUCAGCAUUCGAGCAAACAAAGAGGGGAUGUUCAAAGGUCCUGCUCUUAACUGAGGAGUUAACAACUGACGACUUCCACCAUCGUCUUUAAGGGUAGGCUGACCAUGUUCCAGUGGAUGGUUCCACACCCAUGGUUCCACACCCAUGGUUCCACACCCAUGAGUAUACAAGCAGCACAAAUCGGACUUGGUGAAUCAUUAGAGAAAAGAGGACAUGAGGUUGGGGGGGGGGUUGGAGUGAUUAGAAGGGGGCUGGAGCUGGGCGAGGAUUGACAGGACAGUGGACACGGGAUUUAGGAGGAGUUAAGGGAAGCAGUGCAGAGCAAAUGUGAGAUCAGAAUACAUUAUAGGCAUGUAUGUAAUUGUCAAAAAAUUAAUAAAAAUAUUUAAAAUAACACUAAAAGGGAAAGUUCCAGGCGUAUAAGCCAAAAAUGAAAGCAAACUGGAAAUAAAAAAAACUUGAUAAUGUAUGGUGAUGAAAAUACUAAAUAUUAAAACUUGUGAGACAUGGUAAAAGAGGGGUCAUGGUAAAAUCAAAACAUAAAAUGCCUCAAUCAUGAAAGAAGAAAGGCUAAAAAUAAAAAUGAAACCACUGACAAAAAGAUGAAAAGAAGAAGGCAAGAGAGAAGAAGAACACAAAAACAGAAAUGGAAGCCAAUGAAAUAGGAAACACAAGCCAACCAAGAUGAGCCAUAAAGCCUUAAGGAGGUUCUUUGGAAAAUAAAAUGACCCCAGUGGUUAAACAUGGACAGAAUUCCAAAUACUGCAGGUUCCAAACAGCCAGUGGGAAAUACUGCCAGUAAGUUGAGUUCAGGGUGACAACAGAUGAAGACAAUGCGGACUAAACGGCUGUCCAGUACUGCAGAUAAUGAGAUUAAAAAUUCGCAUUCACAAAGCGAUCACAAUAGCGUUGUGACCUUUGACUUGGCACAAGUUACUCCAGCUCUCCUAGACUGCUUAGCUUGCCGGUGGUGUUGAAUGUUCAGUAGUGUAUGAUCCAGGUCCAUUCACGUGUGUAUACGUAUGUUAGCUACUUCUCUGUUCCUUUGAUAGGAUACCAUGACCAGAAGUAACUGAUGAACAAAAGACUUUAUUUUGGCUUUUGGCUCCAGAAGGUUAAGCAUCCAAUAUGGUGGGGAGGCAAGACAACAAACAGUAGGCAUUGUGACGGUAGCAGGAAGCUGAGAAAACAAUCACAUCUUCAAGCAUAAAAACUGAGAAAGCAAACUGUAAGUGGAGCAAGGAUGCAAACUCUCAAAUCUCCACUCCACCCCCACGGACGUGUCUCUUCCAGCAAGGCUGUGUCACCUCCCCACACAGCACAACCAGCUGGGAACCAAACAUUCCAAUACUGGAGUCUAUUGUGGAUUUCUCAAAAUAGUAUGUAUGUAUGCUUUGAUGCAGGAUAUAUCUCCAGUAGAAAAUACUGGAUAUACACAUACACAUACGCACGCUCGCACGCAUGCUCUCACAUGCACACAGGUUCUUUAGAGACUAGACUAAUGUUGUAUAAUGAAGGAAGUCCUUGAUGAACACACGCUUCAGUAUGUUUCUAUUGAUGAAGGUAGGGGACCCAAGAAAGUGUGAACUGUAGGUUCUUUGAUAGGUUCGAGGGAUAAGAGUUGAUUUACAUAAUAUUUACUUUAAAAAAAUGAAUCCUUACACGAGCCAAGGAUCAGAGCACUUCAUGAAUGAAAAGUCCAAUGUCAUGCAGUGGAGG